UUUGCAGUACAAGGGCCCUCCCAGAACAGGCAUGAUUUCGACCUAAGCAACCAGCAUGUGUAGAAUGACCUUCCCUGCCUUUAUCGCAUGCCUCAUAAUCGCCCUUGAAUUCUCUGAUUACUCACUUUGAGUUCCGAGAACUCAAUGCCCCCUGGAAGGACAGACAUUCCAAUCAAUGGACCUUCAUAACUUACUACUGCUUGGAGUUAAAGGCAGCUCCAUCUAGGACUAUGCUGUCAACGGCCUGUGGACCCUAGUAAGUGGGAGGAGGUGGGGAGGAAGAGACAAGAAGUCCUGCAUUUACAUUGUCCAAGAAACAACAUUUAGAAACUGACCAUACAAAUGAACUGCUAUGGCUGUCCACAUCUAGCAGCAUUGAAAUAACAUUGCUAAAGAAGACCCUUCAGGAGAAUGUCUCCAAAAUUCAUCUUACUGGCUGCUGUUUGCGAAGAUUUUCUGAUGUCUGAGGGAACCAUUAAAGGCUUCCAAGCACAGGCUUGCCACGGGGUCAGCUGUGUGUCCAGGAGAGUGUGGCUUUUGGUUUUUCUUAUUUGCCAACACAAGCUGCCAGCCACGGCCUCCCGGGAUCUUUUCCCAAGCACUCCAGCAUUCGGCUAAAACCUUGGGAUCUCGUGCUGAGUCCACCUGGCUGAUGCCAACGUUGAAAGACAAAUAGGAACACAUGGAGAACGUGACUUGCAGGGGAUGAAUCCACACCAGAAGCUGGAAGGAGCUCCCUGCCAGCAGGAGGCAGCCAACCUUGGCUUCCUGGGGCUCUGGAAAGAGCCUGGCUCAGUCCAGGAGGCUGUGGAUACGAUGGGGAAAAUGCUGGACUCAGAACUGGAGAUCUGGCUUCGAGGUCCCGGCUGAGCCGAGAACUGGCUGAGCCUAGUCCCCUGGCUGGCAGAGGCAGAAGAUGCGGGAGAGGCUCUGAGAUUGUGAUGGAAAUUAACAGAAAGGCAGAGGCUGUGUGGCUGGGGAGGGUGAUGCUGAUGGUGUUGGUGCUGGUGACGGUGCUUGGAAGGAAGCUGCAUCCUUGGAAAAGGACAUGCAUUUAGAGAAGCGAAAAUCAAGAGACCCUGACCUUGGAGGGGGGUGAUCUAGUCUGAGUGGAUGAGAAGACCCUUAGGAUGGCAGACACGAGACACCUGGCCUCUUACCUUGCUGAAGGUGGCCAUCCUUCCACAGGCACAGCCAGGCCGGGAUGUGAGCCCAUGGUCCUUGCUCCUCCUGCCUCUGAGGCUGAUCUUAAGAGGACUGAUGGGCACAGGUAUGCAUUUGCCACAACCUCAUGCUGCAUGGGAGUGUGGUGCACUGUCAUCUACCCUGCCCCUCUCACAGCUGGCCUCAUGCUAACUUCACGCACGUGUCUGAGUCUCUGGUAAGUUCUGUCGGGGAAGGACAGUGAGAGUCGUGUUCCUUCUUGUGUUUCCUUACUGUCCAUUUACCCAAGAAGAUUGUGAUCUCCAGAAUGGUAGAGAGCUAGGGCCUGGGCAGAGUGCAACACACGAGCAGAGCGCCUACGCCAGCAGCGACAGAGGUACCAUCUGUUCAUGGUGGCCGCACACUCAUCCGAAUGAACUGCAAAUGGCACCUCAGAGAUGUAAGAAGGGGCCCUGGCCUAGUGGAGGAAAGUCAAGGGCCAGUUCCCUGAAGAAGCCGUGACUGAGCUGAGCUCCACUGGAAGGAGGGAGGGGAAGCAGGAGGCUGGCGAGAGUGUUCCAGGCGGGGAACAGCAUGUGCAAAGUCCUGCUCCUGACCUGGGGAUGGAGGGGACGCCUCUAGAGGCUUGGGCAGAGGAGUUCUCUCACCUGUUUUGUGUCUCAAAGGGACUUGUAGGUUGUUAUCACGGGGCCAGUCUCUGAAGAGUCGUGAAUGUAUUUUACAGGUUUGCGUCGUUUUUUACAGAAAGGGAGAAACAUCAUAAUGUGAGUCCAGAGAAGUAGUGCUUUCAAACUAGAUUCUGCUGCUCCCUCGCUAUCACGGGCCCCAUGGAGGAGGGCAUCUGUGGUGGUGAUUUUAGGAACUGUGACCUCUGGGCAAGCCUCACUUGAAACAGUAAAAAUACCACUGAAACGCUGGCCACAGUCAGAACUUUGUAGACGGAAUUCUGCUCCAAGUGCACAGUGGAGACUUGCUCCAUAAAAUAAUUAUGGGGUGAGAAUUUUAUGGGGGAUCCUUUUUAUUCACAGAGUCACCCCCUAAAUUAGCUGACUUGUGAAUGCUGCAUCUUGUAAUUACAAAGUAUAGACUGAGAUGUUUUGGGGACCUCAGAGAUCCUUGUGCAUCACAGAUAGGCACACUGGGCUACUGAGAGGGGACACAGAGAGAUGGUGGCAGAGCCGUCACCCUGCACGGGAAACACUGUGGCAGAGACCUGGUUAAAAUGACCAGUGUAGUCCAACAGGAAAACUCAUGCCCUCUACUGUACUGUUGGAUAUAUCAAAUAACAGAGAUGAUUUUCAAAUUUGAAAAAAAAAUUUUAUUUGAAAAGCAAAAAGAGAGAAGUUCACUCCCCCAAAUGCCCACAUUGGUUGGGGCUAGGCUAGGCCAAAGCCAGGAACCAGGAGCUCAAUCUGGGUUUCCCACGUGGGGGGGCAUCCAUCACCUUCUGCCUCUCUGGGUACUUAUUAGCAAGAAGCUGGGAUUGAGGGUGGAGUGGGACUUGAACCCAGGCAAGCUGGUAUGGAUGCAGGCUUCCCAAGUGGAGUCUUAACCACAAGACCAAAUGUCUACCUCAUAUCAAGAUUGUUUGAUCAGCCUUUAGCUGUGUGCUAUGUAGAUGCAGUCCAAGAAGGGGUGAGCAGUUGUCACUUUUUAAAAAAUCAUCAUACUUUUUUUAAAAAAAAAGAUUGUUUUUAAAAUUUGCUUGAAAGGCGGAGUUAGAGAGAAAGAGAGAGAGCGAGAGAGAGAGAACCACAACAGCCAUGGCUGAGCCAGGAUGAAGCAGAGCCUGGAAUUCCAUCAGACUCUCCCAUGUGGGUACAGGGACCCAAACACUUGCCCCAUCUCCCACUGCUUUCCCAGGCACAUUAGCAGGGAGCUGGAUUGGAAGUGGAGGAGCCGGGACUGGAACCUGUGCCCAUAUGGGAUGCUAGUAUUGCAGGCACAAUGCCGGAUCCCAUGUUUCACUCUUGACUUGGUAAAGCUGGGAGGGCAAAUGAAUAAGGGAAAGAAAUCAUGCCCAUACGGCUUGCUUUGCAGCUGAGCUGUGGUUCAGCUGGUCAGUUCAAGUGGAAAAAAGGACUUUGGGGUGCAGAGGCUGGGGUGGAAGGACUGGUCUCUCAGGUCAAAUUACAAUGGGCAUUCUGAAAAGACAGUAACUUUUUCUUUCUCUAUGGCAUUUAAAGCCCAGACUUGAAUUCUUUAUUCAAUCAAAACACCCACUAAGAUCAGGCAAAAGUUUAACUAUAUAAUGUGGGGUGCUGAUGGCCUAUUGGGGCCCCAGAAACUUCUUUCUGGCUUCAGGAUUUGUUCUGAGGAGGGUGCUCAGGGGACAGGGGACAGGUUACUAUGUGCAGGUCUUGAGAGGCCCUGGGAGGAGGCUGUGGCUGGGAAGGCCCAGGGGAGCAUGCCAGGGCCGUGGGAGGUGGGAGGGUGGGGACUGAGGGCUUUCCCCCCAACUCCGAGGCUGUUAGAUAGGUUUGGUGGUGCACCUGCGGAUUAUGGUAGAGGCCUCGGGACAGCAGCCUAGAAAGGAUGAAAGCCCAGCUGGAAGGAGGCCCAGGGCCGCUCAGAGGCCCUGCUGAGCUUUGGAGGAGCAGCUGAGUAGCAGCCAGGGCUGGCUCUGCACUCUGCCAGCCGUGUGACCGCAGGCCUGCUUCGCCUUCUAAGCCCCGCUUUUCUCCUCUGUAAAGUGAAGAGAGUGGUGACGGUACGCAUCACAUAGAGCUGUUGAAAGAAUGAAGCAACAGAAUGGGUCUAACACAGGAAAAAAAAAGUCUUCCUCCCCCUCCUCUCCCCUCCCGUCCCCUUCCCUCCCUCCCCUUCUCUCCCCUCCCCUCCUUCUCCGCUCCCCCUCCCCCUCCCCCUCUACUUUCUCCCUCUCCUCCCUCUCCCCCUCCUUCACCAUCAUUGUGGUUCCAACAGGACUUGAAUUCUGAACGUGUGACUCCUGGUGCCUGGGGAGCAACACUCUCCAAUAAAAACAAGGUUAAGCUGAAGUCUGAGUUUACUCUAGGAAGCAGGCGUCUCUGGGCAGAUGACAGCUUGGCGUCGCCACCAGAAGGAGCGAGUGCACCCUGAGAAAGAGCAACUUUGCCAGCAGGGGCCGGAGUGAGAGCACUGGGCUUGGCCUGAGGACAAGAAGAAGAGGAAGGCUGUGAAUAGAGGAUGGAGAUGUCUUUCAGCCCACUGCUCGUGAUGGUGGAUAAGUUGGAGGGGGAUUAGAGAGAGGGCUCUACCUUGAGAGGGGGUUCUCUCUAGUUAUUGGGUACUGUUGCAUGUGUCUACCCCUGUGAAGAGCAAGGCACAGGAGCUGCUGGGAAGAUGUGAUAAACAGUGUCCCCAAGCAGGCUCAUGGCCCAGACAUCACCAAAGUCACAGGAAUUCUUUUCCCAGGAGCAGCUCAGCCUUGGUGGCCCAGCGAUAGUGACAGUGAUGGCCCUGCGGACCUCAGAGGAACUGGCCAAUGUUCCCAGCGGGGAGUGAGAGCAGAAGAGGAGGAGGAGGAGGGCAGCUCUCUGCUGUGGCCCAGGAGUCCAGUGGAGGAUGGCCCAAGUCCUUGGGUCCUGCACCCAUGGGAGACCAGGAGAAGCACCUGGCUCCUGCCAUCGGAUCAGCAAGGUGUGCCGGCCGCAGCACGCUGGUCGUGGCGGCUAUUGGAAGGUGAACAAACGACAAAGGAAGAUCUUUCUCUCUGUCUCUCUCACUGACCACUUUGCCUGUCAAAAAAAUUUUUUUUUUAAAAAUGUGAAGUACUUGGGGGGCCGGCGCUGUGGCGCAGUGGGUUAAUGCCUGAAGUGCUGGCACCCUAUGUGGGUGCCAGUUUGAGUCCUGGCAGCUCUACUUCUGAUUCAGCUCUCUGCUAUGACCUGGGAAAGCAGUGGAAGAUGGCCCAAGUCUUUGGCUGUUAUGGUCAUCUGGAGUGAACCAGUGGAAGGAAGACUCUCUCUCUGCCUCUGCCUCUGCCUCUCUGUAACUCUGCCUUCCAAAUAAAUAAAUAAAUCUUUUUAAAAAAAUGAAGUGCUUGUGAAGUACUUUUGAAUGAAUACAAAAUUGGAGUUCUUGAACCCAUGUGGGUAACUGUGUCUUUGUGUAGCCUUUAUUUCCAUUCAUCUUGUGUGUGCGUGCAUGGGUGCAUGGUUGUGGUUGUGGCUGUGGUAUAAAUUGUGUCUUUAUAAUUGAUUUAUAACCCUCACCCCACCAAAGGGAGACACAUUGGAAGCUGCUAAAGACCCCUGCCUAGGAGUCCGCAAAAUGACAGAAAAAUGGUCCCGAUUCCUAUAACCAUCACCUGCUGAUCGAAAGCAGCAUUUAGAUCUGUUGGAAUAUUGUUUCUGUUAUUUAGUAUCUGUGUAAGCUUGGGCAAGUUGUCCAGCAGCUCUGUGUCUCGUCUGCCACGUUGAUAAAGUAGACGCCCUAAUGCCAGCUUUGCCUUGUUGCUGUUAGGUUUAGUAAUCGUGCAUAUGGAAGUUGUCUCACAAAGAAGGCACUCCACUACUGACAGUUCCAAAGAAUUCACUGGGAAGGGCAGUGAGCAGAGGGCCAGAUCUUUAAGAUUACAUAGAAGUAGCUGUCACUUAGGAGCCUUUUGGGUGACAACAUAAGCAUAAAAGGACCUGUUGUCAUGGUGAUGGAGUGACA